GGAAGUGAAAGUCGUAACAAGGUUUCCGUAGGUGAACCUGCGGAAGGAUCAUUACUGAGUGAGGGCCCUCUGGGUCCAACCUCCCACCCGUGUUUAUUAUACCUUGUUGCUUCGGUGAGCCCGCCUCACGGCCGCCGGGGGGCAUCUGCCCCCGGGCCCGCGCCCACCGAGGACACCUAGAACUCUGUAUGAAGAUUGCAGUCUGAGCAAAAACUAAAUAAGUUAAAACUUUCAACAACGGAUCUCUUGGUUCCG
rnacentral:misc_RNA from 1 species